GGCUUGAUGGUCUAGUAGUAUGAUUCCUUGUUAGGGUUGGUGCUGGUUCGAGGAGGUCCCGGGUUCAAUUCCCGGUCAAGCCC